CUUGGUAGUUAUAACGGUUGAGGUACACCUGUUCCCAUCCCGAACACAGAAGUUAAGCCAACUCGUGCUGAUGGUAGUGCAUCUCGUAGAUGUGCAAGAGUAAGUAGCUGCCAAGA
rfam:Pseudoalteromonas citrea strain KMM216 contig0187, whole genome shotgun sequence.